CCAAGGAGUCUAACAUGUGUGCAAGUCGUAGGGUCUGUUUCUUAACCGAAGCUAAACCCGAUGGCGAAAUGAAAGUAAAGGCCGCCGGAUUCGUCUUCUCUCCUUCGGGGGAGUUGACGCAUGAAGGGAUAAUAAACGGCCGAGGCGAGAUCCAUUAAACAAAAAACCGGGCUGAUGUUUUCUUUUAGGCCAUCGUUCCGAGAUCUUCGGGUCUCGGAACGGCCCGGUGGCGCAUCGCCGGCCCGUCUCUGUCGCUGCUCCCGGCUUGCAGCCGUGUUUGUGCGUGACUUUUUUAACCUCUCGGGGUUUUCCAAGUUCGCCUGCGCGGAGGCACGGGAGAAACCAGUUCGACGAGGCGGAGCAAGAGCACACACGUUGGGACCCGAAAGAUGGUGAACUAUGCCCGGGCAGGACGAAGCCAGAGGAAACUCUGGUGGAGGUCCGCAGCGAUUCUGACGUGCAAAUCGAUCGUCGGACCUGGGUAUAGGGGCGAAAGACUAAUCGAACCGUCUA
rnacentral:rRNA from 1 species